AUACGUAGGGGGCAAGCGUUAUCCGGAUUUACUGGGUGUAAAGGGAGCGUAGACGGCGAUGCAAGUCUAAAGUGAAAACCCGGGGCUCAACCCCGUGGACUGCUUUGGAAACUGUGUUGCUGGAGUGCAGGAGAGGUGAGUGGAAUUCCUAGUGUAGCGGUGAAAUGCGUAGAUAUUAGGAGGAACACCAGUGGCGAAGGCGCUUCACUAGCCCGAAACUGACGCUCAGUCACGAAAGCGUGGGUAGCAAAUAGGAUUAGAUACCCUAGUAGUCCACGCUGUAAACGAUGACAACUAAAUAUUGCCGCGAGGCAGUGUUGAAGCUAACGCAUUAAGUUGUCCGCCUGGGGAGUACGGUCGCAAGACUGAAACUCAAAGGAAUUGACGGGG
rnacentral:rRNA from 1 species